rnacentral:rRNA from 1 species
GCCUAACACAUGCAAGUCGAACGGAGUUAUUUGUUUAGAUCCCUUCGGGGUGACGAACUUUUAACUUAGUGGCGGACGGGUGAGUAACGCGUGAGUAACCUGCCUCUGAGAGGGGAAUAACGUUCUGAAAAGAUCGCUAAUACCGCAUAACAUAUCGAAGCCGCAUGGCUUUGAUAUCAAAGAUUUUAUCGCUCGGAGAUGGACUCGCGUCCGAUUAGCUGGUUGGCGGGGUAACGGCCCACCAAGGCGACGAUCGGUAGCCGGACUGAGAGGUUGAUCGGCCACAUUGGGACUGAGACACGGCCCAGACUCCUACGGGAGGCAGCAGUGGGGGAUAUUGCGCAAUGGGGGCAACCCUGACGCAGCAACGCCGCGUGAAGGAAGACGGUUUUCGGAUUGUAAACUUCUUUUGUCAGGGACGAAGAAUGACGGUACCUGACGAAUAAGCUCCGGCUAACUACGUGCCAGCAGCCGCCGUAACAC